rnacentral:rRNA from 1 species
UACGUAGGUGACAAGCGUUAUCCGGAAUUACUGGGCGUAAAGCGCACGCAGGCGGCCGAGUAAGUCUGACGUGAAAUCUCCCGGCUUAACCGGGAGCGGUCGUUGGAAACUACUUGGCUUGAGGCGAUGAGAGGGGUGUGGAAUUCCCGGUGUAGUGGUGGAAUGCGUAGAUAUCGGGAGGAACAUCAGUGGCGAAAGCGGCACCCUGGCAUUAGCCUGACGCUCAGGUGCGAAAGCGUGGGGAGCGAACGGG